AUGGACAUGAGGGCCCCCGCUCAGCUCCUCAGCCUCCUGCUGCUCUGGCUCCCAGGAGCCUGGUGUGCCAUCCAGAUAAGCCAGUCUCCACCCUCCGUGUCUGCAUCUCCAGGAGACAGAGUCACCAUCUCCUGCCGGGCCAGUCAGGGUGUUAGAAAUUAUCUAAACUGGUAUCAGCAGAAACCAGGGAAAGCUCCUAAGCUCCUCAUCUAUGGUGCAUCCAAUUUGCAAACUGGGGUCCCAUCCCGCUUCAGUGGCAGUGGAUCUGGGACAGAUUUCACUCUCACCAUCAGCAGCCUGGAGCCUGAAGAUGCUGCCACAUACUACUGUAUGCAGUAUAACAGUAACCCUCACACAGUGAUACAAGCCUGA